rnacentral:lncRNA from 1 species
AAGAAAACAAAAAUGUCCAGGCUGUUGGAAGCAGGAAAGUAGAAGUUUGUCUUGCUGUGAACAUGAGGAAGCCAUCAGACAAAUCCACGUGUGGGGUGGCCUACAAGGUACCGGCCUGCAGACUGCACAGAUGUCAAUGAGAAGAAAGAAGUUGAAUCUCCUUUAGUGCGAAGGAGAUGGCAGAGAUAUACCCCCAAGUGCAACA